AACAGAAAGUCACACUGGAACCAUUGCUGGCAACCUCCGUCUCCCAAGGUCGACAAGGCCUUACCAGGCCUCGCUCCCCAACACGACAGACUCAACAGCAGGGAAACUGCACCUCCAAAGCCACCGGAAGAAAAAAAAGAGCAGGUGUUCAACCACACCCAGAAGAGCCGGACUCCAUCACGAAUAAUGGUUACUUGAGAAGAUACACGCUCCAAACAACCCCACCUUCCUCCUUCUUCCCUCCACUUUAUAUACGGAGCAUAACGUCAUAAGUGAAUAAAGAGGCAGAACCGUUCUAACUGGUUAUGGACAGUUUCUACAACAUCUCUACAAGAGUCCUUGAUGAUAUUUUAGACUGCAACACCUGAAGAUCAAAACUAGAAGCAGUGUAAAAUAAGAAGAAUGGAAAAUAUAGAAUUUUUAAUAUCUAAUAUUGUGGUCUAAUUUGUUGCUGUAUGUGAGCAAACUGACACAAUAACACUUAAUUUUACUGACUCUACGUGAAAAUAGCGUGAAAGACUUGCAUUCAUUUAGUCUUCUGAUAUUGGCACUGGUGAAAAUUUUUGCCAUUCAUAGCUGGAUUUUUAAUUGUUACAUUCUUAGCAUUUUCUUUUGCUUAAAAAAAACCCAACAAAACAAGAAAGCAACAAAACUUUAGGGCAUUGCAUACUAGAGGGAAAAGAUUGAAUUCUAAACAGUAAAUAGUUCUAAAAAUGUGCUAUAUACAAACUGUACUGUUUUAUAGGUUUAAAAUAUUUUCAAACAAUAUA